rnacentral:lncRNA from 1 species
GGUUUUACAAGCUCCUUCCUUAGAUCAACUUUGAUCUGUUACAAGCUCUUUUUCUUUCCAUCCAGAAAGAAAUUUAAUCACCUAUCAACCUUGAUAGGAUUUGUUACAAGAUAUUCAAACUAUAAUAAACUCUAAUAGUUCGAGUUUUACAAUAAUGAUAAGAUUAUUUUGAUAGAAUAUGAGAUGUCUUAACUCUUGUUUAAGUUUCGAUUCUUUACAAAGAAUUCAAUACAAUAAUAACAGAGUACGAUAUAUAAUCAGAACUGAAUCUGUCUUGUGAAAAUGAGAAUUUCAAGUAUGUGAAUGUGAAUGAUUUAUGAGACUCGAUAGUACUUGAACUUCUACCAUUUCCCUGGGCAUUGGCCUUUCUUUUAUAGGCGUUUUGAAGCAUUUAAUAAUGGUCAAAAUAUUUGUUGGUAGUGCUUUGUC